GACGAACGCUGGCGGCGUGCUUAACACAUGCAAGUCGAACGGAAAGGCCCUGCUUUUGUGGGGUGCUCGAGUGGCGAACGGGUGAGUAACACGUGAGUAACCUGCCCUUGACUUUGGGAUAACUUCAGGAAACUGGGGCUAAUACCGGAUAGGAGCUCCUGCUGCAUGGUGGGGGUUGGAAAGUUUCGGCGGUUGGGGAUGGACUCGCGGCUUAUCAGCUUGUUGGUGGGGUAGUGGCUUACCCAGGCUUUGACGGGUAGCCGGCCUGAGAGGGUGACCGGCGACAAUGGGACUGAGAUACGGACCAGACUCCUACGGGAGGCAGCAGUGGGGAAUAUGGCACAAUGGGCGGGAGCCUGAUGCAGCAACGCCGCGUGCGGGAUGACGGCCUUCGGGUUGUAAACCGCUUUAGCCUGUGACGAAGCGUGAGUGACGGUAAUGGGUAAAGAAGCACCGGCUAACUACGUG
rnacentral:rRNA from 1 species